rnacentral:rRNA from 1 species
GAUGCGUAGCCGACCUGAGAGGGUGAUCGGCCACACUGGGACUGAGACACGGCCCAGACUCCUACGGGAGGCAGCAGUAGGGAAUCUUCCGCAAUGGACGAAAGUCUGACGGAGCAACGCCGCGUGAGUGAUGAAGGUUUUCGGAUCGUAAAGCUCUGUUGUUAGGGAAGAACAAGUGCCGUUCAAAUAGGGCGGCACCUUGACGGUACCUAACCAGAAAGCCACGGCUAACUACGUGCCAGCAGCCGCGGUAAUACGUAGGUGGCAAGCGUUGUCCGGAAUUAUUGGGCGUAAAGGGCUCGCAGGCGGUUUCUUAAGUCUGAUGUGAAAGCCCCCGGCUCAACCGGGGAGGGUCAUUGGAAACUGGGGAACUUUGAGUGCAGAAGAGGAGAGUGGAAUUCCCACGUGUAGCGGUGAAAUGCGUAGAGAUGUGGAGGAACACCAGUGGCGAAGGCGACUCUCUGGUCUGUAACUGACGCUGAGGAGCGAAAGCGUGGGGAGCGAACAGGAUUAGAUACCCUGGUAGUCCACGCCGUAAACGAUGAGUGCUAAGUGUUAGGGGGUUUCCGCCCCUUAGUGCUGCAGCUAACGCAUUAAGCACUCCGCCUGGGGAGUACGGUCGCAAGACUGAAACUCAAAG